rnacentral:rRNA from 1 species
UACGAAGGGGGCUAGCGUUGCUCGGAAUCACUGGGCGUAAAGAGCUCGUAGGCGGCUCAGUAAGUCAGGUGUGAAAACUCCAGGCUCAACCUGGAGACGCCACCUGAUACUGCUGUGGCUAGAGUCCGGUAGGGGAGCAUGGAAUUCCUGGUGUAGCGGUGAAAUGCGCAGAUAUCAGGAGGAACACCAGUGGCGAAGGCGGUGCUCUGGGCCGGAACUGACGCUGAGGAGCGAAAGCGUGGGGAGCGAACAGG